rnacentral:rRNA from 1 species
AUUGAACGCUGGCGGAAUGCUAUACACAUGCAAGUCGAACGGCAGCACGGACUUCGGUCUGGUGGCGAGUGGCGAACGGGUGAGUAAUGUAUCGGAACGUGCCCAGUCGUGGGGGAUAACGUAGUGAAAAUUACGCUAAUACCGCAUACGAUCUAUGGAUGAAAGCGGGGGAUCGCAAGACCUCGCGCGAUUGGAGCGGCCGAUAUCAGAUUAGGUAGUUGGUGGGGUAAAGGCCCACCAAGCCAACGAUCUGUAGCUGGUCUGAGAGGACGACCAGCCACACUGGAACUGAGACACGGUCCAGACUCCUACGGGAGGCAGCAGUGGGGAAUUUUGGACAAUGGGCGAAAGCCUGAUCCAGCCAUUCCGCGUGCAGGAUGAAGGCCCUCGGGUUGUAGACUGCUUUUGUACAGAACGAAAAGGCUUCUACUAAUACUAGGAGCUCAUGACGGUACUGUAAGAAUAAGCACCGGCUAACUACGUGCCAGCCGCCGCGGUAA